rnacentral:rRNA from 1 species
UAGCAGUAGCAGUGAGGAAUAUUGGUCAAUAGCCUAACGGCUGAACCGGCAACUUGGAGGAAUGUAUAGGGAAAACUGGUAAAAUGUGAUGUACCUAGUAAUAUUAGUGAUUAAUAUGAGACUAACCGAGUUAGUUAAAAUUCUAAGUAUAUAUGUGAUUAUGACAAUAUGUGCUUAUUUCUUGACCAAGUCACGUGCCAGCGGUCGCGGUAAUACGUGGAAGAUCAGUGUUAUUCAUCUUUAUCAGGUUUAAAGGGUACCUAGACGGUUAAUUAAGCUUUAGUAGGAACUAAUUAACUAGAGUUUAAUGUAAGAAUGAUUGAGUACGGUGAGUGUAGAGAUAAAAUUCUGUCAUACCACUUAGGAACUGGUAAAAGCGAAGGCAACUUUCUAUGUAAAAACUGACGUUGAAGGACGAAGG